rnacentral:tRNA from 1 species
UACGGACUUCCGUCGACUUUAAAAAUCGUGAGGGUUCAAGUCCCUCUAUCCCCAAAAAG